UACGAAGGGGGCUAGCGUUGCUCGGAAUCACUGGGCGUAAAGCGCACGUAGGCGGAUUGUUAAGUCAGGGGUGAAAUCCUGGAGCUCAACUCCAGAACUGCCUUUGAUACUGGCGAUCUUGAGUCCGGGAGAGGUGAGUGGAACUGCGAGUGUAGAGGUGAAAUUCGUAGAUAUUCGCAAGAACACCAGUGGCGAAGGCGGCUCACUGGACGACUGUUGACGCUGAGGUGCGAAAGCGUGGGGAGCAAACAGG
rnacentral:rRNA from 1 species